rnacentral:rRNA from 1 species
AGAGUUUGAUCCUGGCUCAGGAUGAACGCUGGCGGCGUGCCUAACACAUGCAAGUCGAACGGAGUUAUGAUGUGAGCGGGAAGUGCUUGCACUAAACAAUCUUUUCAUAACUUAGUGGCGGACGGGUGAGUAACGCGUGGGUAACCUGCCCUGUACUGGGGGACAACAGUUGGAAACGACUGCUAAUACCGCAUAAGCGCACGGGAUCGCAUGACCCUGUGUGAAAAACUCCGGUGGUACAGGAUGGACCCGCGUCUGAUUAGAUAGUUGGUGAGGUAACGGCCCACCAAGUCAACGAUCAGUAGCCGGCCUGAGAGGGUGAACGGCCACAUUGGGACUGAGACACGGCCCAAACUCCUACGGGAGGCAGCAGUGGGGAAUAUUGCACAAUGGGGGAAACCCUGAUGCAGCGACGCCGCGUGAGCGAAGAAGUAUUUCGGUAUGUAAAGCUCUAUCAGCAGGGAAGAAAAUGACGGUACCUGACUAAGAAGCCCCGGCUAACUACGUGCCAGCAGCCGCGGUAAUACGUAGGGGGCAAGCGUUAUCCGGAUUUACUGGGUGUAAAGGGAGCGUAGACGGCAAGGCAAGUCUGAUGUGAAAGGCUGGGGCUCAACCCCGGGACUGCAUUGGAAACUGUCCUGCUGGAGUGCCGGAGAGGUAAGCGGAAUUCCUAGUGUAGCGGUGAAAUGCGUAGAUAUUAGGAGGAACACCAGUGGCGAAGGCGGCUUACUGGACGGUAACUGACGUUGAGGCUCGAAAGCGUGGGGAGCAAACAGGAUUAGAUACCCUAGUAGUCCACGCCGUAAACGAUGAGAACUAGGUGUUGGGGGAAUAACUCAGUGCCGCAGUUAACGCAGUAAGUUCUCCGCCUGGGGAGUAUGCACGCAAGUGUGAAACUCAAAGGAAUUGACGGGGGCCCGCACAAGCGGUGGAGUAUGUGGUUUAAUUCGAAGCAACGCGAAGAACCUUACCAGGCCUUGACAUCCCUUGCAGAGGUAUAGAGAUAUAUCCGAGGUUAUCAAGGAGACAGGUGGUGCAUGGUUGUCGUCAGCUCGUGUCGUGAGAUGUUGGGUUAAGUCCCGCAACGAGCGCAACCCUUGUGAUAUGUUACUAACAUUGAGUUGAGGACUCAUACCAGACUGCCGGUGAUAAACCGGAGGAAGGUGGGGAUGACGUCAAAUCAUCAUGCCCCUUAUGGCCUGGGCUACACACGUACUACAAUGGCGUCUACAAAGAGCGGCAAGCCUGUGAAGGCAAGCGAAUCUCAUAAAGGACGUCUCAGUUCGGAUUGAAGUCUGCAACCCGACUUCAUGAAGCUGGAAUCGCUAGUAAUCGCGAAUCAGCAUGUCGCGGUGAAUACGAUCUCGGGCCUUGCAC